AUGCAUGUCUAAGUACACGCCUUUACACGGCUAAACUGCGAAUGGCUCAUUAAAUCAGUUAUGGUUCCUUAGAUCGUACAAUCCUACUUGGAUAACUGUGGCAAUUCUAGAGCUAAUACAUGCAACACAGCUCCGACCCUCGCGGGGAAGAGCGCUUUUGUUAGCCCAAAACCAACGCGGCGGUCGUUCACGCGGCCGUCGCUCAAGUAUGGUGACUCUGAACAACUUUGUGCCGAUCGCACGGCCUUUGAGCCGGCGACGAAUCUUUCAAGUGUCUGCCCUAUCAACUUUCGAUGGUACGUGCUAUGCCUACCAUGGUGAUAACGGGUAAC
rnacentral:rRNA from 1 species